rnacentral:lncRNA from 1 species
UUUCUCCUGCUAUAUUUUUAGAGAGCUUGGUGUUUCUCUAGUAAGGUGCUGCUUCAUGAAACAGAUGGAAAGGGGGGAGCAAAGGUUUGCAUUUCCUUGAACAGAGAAGUGGAUUAAUACCAGGUAUUUAACUACCCGCAGAGGUUCAAAGGAUUCCAAAGAACUGCAUGAAAGAUAUCCAAGGCAUGCAUCAUUUGUUCCUCUUGUUCCCUAAGGGAAGAUAUACUACUUGCAUCAGCUGUACCCUCCUUGGAACAGGGUGAAAGCCACUUAAUAAGGUAAGUGCAAUUUUUCUUAUGGAAUAUUUUUGUCCCUCAGAAGAAUAAGUUGACUGUCCAAGUAUCACAGGAACCAUAGGUACAUAGUCCACGGCAGUUAAUCAGCCUUUGACAACUUUUCAUUGUAUCAUUUAUAUAUGUUAAAAUACUUUAACUGAUCUGCAGAAACAGAAACUUCAGAGAUGGUGACUCCCCA